UUUAUGGAUCGUUCUGGUGGAAGUAUUGAAGGAGAAGGAGAUAUUGUCACACCCCGUUUUAAUUUUGCGACACAUGCUCUUUGAAAAUGUGAGACCUCUGAUAACGCAAUGGUUUCGCAUACGGAAUGCAAUACUUCUUGUUUCUAAAAACAAAAAAACAUUGACUGUUUUCAACAUAAAUCAACUUUAAUUUUUUGUCAUAACUAAAACAAAGAAGCGAAAAAGAUACACACAGAUAUGUCACCAGAAAACAAGUAACUGGAGUCAUCUAGGACGCUGGUGAAGUAAAACACAUAUUGAGAAAGUAGUAGAGUUUAAAAAAAAUGUGUAUGGCAUUAUAAGAAAUAAAUCCUUUGACUUACAUCAAGAUAAGGAACUAUGGUAGAUAAAACUCUAUACAGGGAAGGCGUGUUAACCAAUUGAGUCAUAAAUAUGGUCUUUAAAAACUAAGAUAUAGAUACAAAAAGAAAUGUGGUAAAUGAUUUCGAUGACUCUAGAUAGCAUUACAGUAAGAGGAGGCAAAAAACAGGGUUUUGAUGAAUGAAAACUAUUAAAUCCUUGUAACAUUGAUGAUUUGGAGACGAUAAUGCUAAGGUAACAGCAGUUUCAACAUCCUACACUUAACGUUCAUAAAGAAGAAUUCGCAAAGCUUUACUGAAUGCGCCAAUUGUAUAGAACAGAAACACUUGAGCGGAACACAAAUAAAUCACUGUUUUCUCACUUGCUGCCGAGUUCUGGUUAAGAUGUUGUUUUUUAUGUCGAGCGCAU